CUCCUGGGGGCAGGGCAGACGCCAUGUGUCUGUUUUAUGGAUUCCGUUGGUGAACCUGUAAAAAAAAUAAAUAAAUAAAAAUUAAAAAAAAAAUUAAAACACACACACACACACACACACACACACACAAAACUUAAAACUAAACUCUCUACGGGGAGGGUCCCCAUACCUACCGCUUCCGUUUGCCGGUGGGACGCUCAAACAGCAGGACGCUAUAGGCCAAAUAUAUUUUUAUAAAAAUGCUCACGCCUAUGGGGGACUGCCUUCUGCCAGAGUUGUCUUUGGAGAGCAGAAAGAAGAAAAGCAAGAAAGAAGCUGGAGACAGAGAAGAAAGGCCAGCAGGAAGCACCUGGAGCCUGGGAUUUGAACUGAUUCUGAACCUUUGCCAAUAAUACCAUUAUGUGCCAUGUACUGACCCGAAGGACUUGGUGACCAAGGCGAAGCCAAGCGAACCACGUGUAGAAAUCUUACCGAAAACAGUGGGUGGGAAUCUUCCAAUAGAGUCGCUAUUUCUGGUUAAUAUACAUAUAUAAAUAUAUAAAUACACACAGACACACACACACACACUUUUUUUGUACUGUAGCAAUUUUUGAAGAUCUUCAAUGUUCCUUUUUAAAAAAAAAAUGUUAUCGGUUACAGAAUCUGAUUUAUUUAACAUGCUUAGUACGAACAGAAUAAACUGGUGUUUUCUACUUUGGCAACAUACCGCGCACACAGGAACACACACGCACACACACACACACAUGCAUAUAUAUGCAUAUAUUGGAAAUGCAGUUCCACGAGUGAGCAUAUUCCUUCUGGUGACCUGGUAUCCCAUGGCCAUCCAUCCCGGGGGACAGCCUGGACCCACGCAAAGAGACCCCUCAAUGACACAUCCUGCAUUCGCUGGUAUCUGGUUGUCUGUUGCCAGUUUUAAUUCACAGGCCCCCGGGCACUGCACUUGAGAGGAUAGAGGAGAAGACUUUCCUUCCCUGCAACCACCUAUAUAUUGAGAAGUCAGAUGGCGGAAGCAAGAAGAGAGAUCAGAAGAUGUAAGAUUUAGAAGCGGGGCCCAAAGGAUUUUAUUUUGUUUUGUUGUAAAGAGUUCUGGGUCCAACUAAAGCAACUUGCCUCCAC
rnacentral:lncRNA from 1 species